UGGGUUGUAGCUCAGUGGAAGAGCACUUGCCUAGCAAGUGUGAGGCCCUGGGUUUGAUCCUCAGCACCACAU
rnacentral:tRNA from 1 species